UUUAUCAAUUGUUUUUUGUCAUUAAACAGACAUUUAAUCAAAAUUAACCGCGAUAAUCGGCGGAAAAUCAAAUAAAUUCAUCGUCUUUCUCCUAAAGUAUCAAAACUAAAUUAUCACCAUUUUAAAAUGGCCUACAAUUACCAAAUACCCAAUUAUUGUCCGAUGUGCUCAUCGUGCCUCAGUAGUUCUCACAACAACACGACUCCAUGCUACUCUCAAUACAAUUGUGAUCAAUAUUUACCAUACCACUACUAUCAAUUCCCAUCAAAUCUACCAGAACAAACCAAACCCAGCACGGAUAAACGCAAGAAACUUACCCGUUCCCAAUCAUCCUGUUGCAUAAGUCGGGAGGCAUGCAGAGUUUCCGAGCGGCCGUGCAUCACCGUCCGCAAGAACGUCGUGGUAGUCAACCGCAAUCGCGCGACUUCCCAGCAUCGAGUUGCGAUAUUAAUCGACUGAUGGAAAUGGUGCGUGAUCCGCAAUACUACAGCAGCAGCACGUGCGAUUCUGCAUCUUUAUCUUCAUUGGGAGAUUCAGCUUCUUCUUCAUUUUUACAACCUAAACCUACUCGUAAAUUACUACUAACGGAAGACGGAAAAGGAAUUAAUUGUUCGAAUUGUGGUGAGAGUAUGAACACUAUAGUGACAUUUAAACCCCCUCGCAAGUUGUUUAAUUCUGGUGAAGAGAGCCGAUCAGCAAAGACAAUUGAAAAUCGACCGACAAGUUCAAUGCUGUUUUGAUAUCUCAUCGGAUUUUUGUUCAUGUUCCCAGAAAGUGUGUGAAUUAUGUGCGAAGAAAAUUGUGUGUACUUGUUCCAAGAUAAGAUGCUGUAUGUGUUCUAAACUUAAAUCAACUGCUGACCGCAAGAUGUCUCUGGUGUUGGUCUGUAAAUGUCCACAGACUUACAAACGCUGUGAGAUUGGAUCAUUUCUGAGGUUUAAUUCAAGUCCUGCGUUGGGUCAAGAACAAUGUGAUAAACUAGAAUGCGCUAGCUGUGCUGGAAGAUCAUUUACAUGUUAAUUUUAAUUUCGUAAAUAAAAAUGUUAUCCCUA